rnacentral:rRNA from 1 species
UACGUAGGGUGCGAGCGUUAAUCGGAAUUACUGGGCGUAAAGCGUGUGUAGGCGGCUUUGCAAGUCGGGUGUGAAAGCCCUCAGCUCAACUGAGGAAGUGCGCCCGAAACUGCAGAGCUUGAGUGCCGGAGAGGGUGGCGGAAUUCCCCAAGUAGAGGUGAAAUUCGUAGAUAUGGGGAGGAACACCGGUGGCGAAGGCGGCCACCUGGACGGUAACUGACGCUGAGACGCGAAAGCGUGGGUAGCAAACAGG